UCCAGCCUCUCCUUUUGGGUAUGAGACAAGGCAUGACCUGGGGGAGGCCUGGGUGGCCAUGAGCUCAGCUACCAGCACCUGUGACAUUUCCCUCAGGCUCCAAAGUGAAAGCACUGUAAUUGCAUGGGUCAUGUAACAGUGAAGGUCAACCCAGCACACUUUAUCUGAUCACUGGAGUGAAAAGCCAAGCAAAAUUCUCAUCAGCCUUUCCCUGAGAUUCUGGGCUCAGGGUCAGGAUUUGGGUCUCCUUAAUGAUAGGUUGGUUCAUCUGGUUGGGCACUAGUGCCACAGUCCAAAUGAGUGCCAUUUUGUUUCUUGGUGGGUAAAACGAAUGAGAUGGGAAAGACUUGGACCACACUGAGAAUCAAAAGCACGAUAAACACAGUUCCAUGGGAAAGGCUUAACAUUGUUCAGUGAGAUCUGUUAUCCAGUUAUAAAAGGAUCCGUCCCCUGUAUUUUCUAAUUGGAGACACUCCCUGGGAGGGGAAGGACCAUGUUAUGUAUUAGCUGAAGCCAUAUCAGUGAAAUAGUAUUUGUUCUGGAAAUUCUAGGAGGGAAUGUUUCAGUCUGUGAACUACCCAGGACCCCAAAUUCACAGUUUGCCAGGAUAAGAGGGAGUCCUAAGGACCACCUGCUUCAAUUCUCACAUUCUAAAUAAGAAGAAAACAAGGCUUAGAGACAUAUUUCCCAAAUGCCUCAAGCUAGUUAGUGGAAGUGAAGGAAAAGCCUAUUAUAAUUCCCUCUAAAAUGUUGUUUGUGCUCCAUAUUCUCUCCUUUUCAUUUGUCCUAAGCUUUUGCAUUUUCCUGCAGGUUAGCAUUUUAGCCAGAAUUGUGCCAGAGGUUACUGUAGCUCCCUGCUCCUGUUAUCACUUUAAACUUUGCAUUUCAGAAUGUUGAAGAAAGUGCUCUCUGCCUGGAUUUUCAUAGGUCCUUCGCUGUUGGUUGCUGUUUUAGAUAACAUAUCCAGGCUGUUGAACCAUCAUUCUUGAAGAAUGUGGGACUGAUGCUCCUGGGUAGCUUCAGAAAUACCAUGAAGUCACCUACAGAAAGCUGCCUCCAUGCUAAGAGCUCCAGGAAUUAACUCUGCUGUUCAUUUGCUCAAGUGGGGCCUCUGCCCCCACUCCCUGCCCAGGGCUCCAUCAGAGUAGCUGCAUGCAUGCAAUGAAGGCAAAGCCUGUUAUGGAAGCCACGGCUGUCUUCGCACAGAGCACUUACCUUUAGCUUCUGAAUCCUGGACCAUGGGCCCUGAAUGUGCUGCUCCUUCUUCGGCAGGCGGAUUCCUGUCUCAACUCAAUCAACUGAAGUCUGAUCCUACAGGAGAGAUUCAGUUGUUUCCUGUUAUUAUCUUUUCCAAGUAUUGUUUUGCAACUUGAAAAAGAGCCAUUUUCCAAUUUGAUAAGCAAAAGUGUUAUGCUGGACCAUUCAACAAGAUCUUGACAUGACCCACCUAGGGAGGUGAGGCCCCACUCCCAACAGGUGCCCCCUUUGAAGACUUACUGAUAUAGAUUCCCUCUAACAGAAAGAACUUGUCAAAUAUUACUUUCUUUGUUCACAUUAUUAGAGCAAUUACCUUUUAUUGCUUCCUAAAUUAUGAAAUUGUAUUAUGAUAUGAAAUACAUUUUUUCAAAGUACAUAUCACUUCCUUCUUGAAAUGCUGAUAUAUACCCCUAAGAACUUUCUUUUCCUCUGUUAGAAAACCAAUGUUAUAAAAUGUUAGAAGAACCAAAUGGAAGGGCGGAAGCCACACAAAGAACAACUUUGUGGGACCCAGAGAGAAACAGAAGAGUCCCUUUACAAAACUACCUUUACUGAUGCUUUCCAGGCCGAAUAAUAUUCUCAGAAAUGGGUAUGUGUUCUGUCUCAACAUAUACACCAUACCCAUCACUUUUUAAAACAGCAUAGCUCUAUGUGUUAUGCUGUAUACAGUUGACCCUUGAACACAAGUUUGAAUUGAGUGGGUCCAUUUAUAUGCAGAUUUUUUCAAUAAAUACUGUAAAUGUCUCUUCCUUAUGACUAUCUUAAUAACAUUUUUU